rnacentral:rRNA from 1 species
UACGUAGGGCGCAAGCGUUAUCCGGAAUUAUUGGGCGUAAAGAGCUCGUAGGCGGUUUGUCGCGUCUGCCGUGAAAGUCCGGGGCUCAACUCCGGAUCUGCGGUGGGUACGGGCAGACUAGAGUGAUGUAGGGGAGACUGGAAUUCCUGGUGUAGCGGUGAAAUGCGCAGAUAUCAGGAGGAACACCGAUGGCGAAGGCAGGUCUCUGGGCAUUAACUGACGCUGCGGAGCGAAAGCAUGGGGAGCGAACAGG